UAACCCACAGGGAAAAACCUAAGGACUGUAUAGGUGAAAGCAAGAAAAGAAAAAGGUUGCUGUCCAACUCUUAAGCUAUGACAAUUAUUACUUAAAUUUUUUGAGGAAAAGAGAUACAAAGUAUAUCACUUUGUUUUGCUAAGGGGAGAACGAAACACAGUGAAGAAGCUGCAUCGCUAUAAUUUUUGCAUAGAUCGAGUAUAAGGUAUUAAAUUUAUUUCUUACGUUAUUUCAUAAUAUUCAUGGAGAUAUCAGUAUCUAUUUUUGUGAUUUAAGAGGAAUUAUUUUGGUUUGUAUAAUGAGAUUAAACUAUGGUCUAGAUAGACUUGAUAAUUUAUUUUGUUAUUUAGUAGUGGAAUUAUGAGGAGCUAUUAUAAGUUGAGUUUGAAGCUUUAAAGAGAAAUUAGGAUUUUAAAUGGUGUUAUUGAUGGAAUGGAGGGGUUGUUGCUGAACUAACUCAGCAAUUUAAGGUAGAUAAUAUUCUUAACACCAAGGAUACGAGAGCAGUUCAUUUGGUAUUAGGAUUGAGAAGGUUCCGGCUUAAAGACUUAUUUUAGUUGAAUAACUAUUUGGGCUUAUAAUGAAACAAUAAUAAUAUAUUUGGGCUCGUGGAGGAAAUGGGUUAUCAAAUCCUAUAAUUUGCUACGAGGUUUUGACUAAGUUGACUUGGGGUGACCUUGAUCGUUAACUUAAAAUUGACAUUGUUAAUUAAUAUUUUUCGUAGAUUGAUGCCAUUGGAGGUCGUUUGGUUGGUGUUUUGGACAUUGCAAUGUUGAGAGACUUGCAGUUAGCGAGGU
rnacentral:lncRNA from 1 species